CCUUGUGUCUUUCAGUGUUUUCAACUCAUCCUACACCCCUGAAGACGAGGGUCGUUGUCAGCUGACCUGAUGUCUGUGAUGAUAGACAGGGACUUCAGGUCACUGGACAGACACAGGCUGUGAAACAUCCGAGGAACCUGAUGAAGAGAAUCUCUCGACACGUGGCUGCUGUUCAACUGUCUCCCUGAGGUCACCAGGAUGGCACGCAAGUUCACCCACUCUGCUGCAGUACCUGCAUCUCUCUCUCACCUGUAUGUGUGACGCUUGGGAGGAUAUCCUCAUGCAGAUGGACCUUUGGCUCACUAAGUUAGUUCAG